UUAUUGUUUACAGACAAGCAGGACAGAACACUGCUGAUGAUUUGCGUGACCGUGACUUCCGUAAAGAUCUUGAUGAAAGGGAAAGAACUGCAGCAAGAGAAAAGCGAGGUGAUCGAGGCAGGGGAGAAUCAUCAGCGGGUUCGAAACGUCCUCGCAUUGAACAAAUACCUGCUGCAAAUCUAGAUGCCGACGAUCCUAUUGAAGAUGAUGAUGAUGAUGACCUGUCAGAUAGUGAUGAUGAUGAUGAUGACACAGCAGAAUUGUUAGCUGAAUUGAACAAGAUCAAAAAAGAAAGAGCAAGUGAACAAGCAAGACGGG